GGGUUGUGAGGUUAAGCGACUAAGCGUACACGGUGGAUGCCCUGGCAGUCAGAGGCGAUGAAGGGCGUGCUAAUCUGCGAUAAGCGCCGGUAAGGUGAUAUGAACCGUUAUAACCGGCGAUACCCGAAUGGGGAAACCCAGUGUGAUUCGUCACACUAUCAUUAACUGAAUCCAUAGGUUAAUGAGGCGAACCGGGGGAACUGAAACAUCUAAGUACCCCGAGGAAAAGAAAUCAACCGAGAUUCCCCCAGUAGCGGCGAGCGAACGGGGAGGAGCCCAGAGCCUGAAUCAGCAUGUGUGUUAGUGGAAGCGUCUGGAAAGGCGCGCGAUACAGGGUGACAGCCCCGUACACAAAAGCGCAUGUGCUGUGAGCUCGAUGAGUAGGGCGGGACACGUGGUAUCCUGUCUGAAUAUGGGGGGACCAUCCUCCAAGGCUAAAUACUCCUGACUGACCGAUAGUGAACCAGUACCGUGAGGGAAAGGCGAAAAGAACCCCGGCGAGGGGAGUGAAAAAGAACCUGAAACCGUGUACGUACAAGCAGUGGGAGCCCCACCACUAAGCCAGUGGUGAACUCCACAUCCGCAUCCUUUGCUGAGGAUACGGUUAACGGAGCGAAAGCGACGUUCAACCGCAAAACAAGCAGAGGGGGCUUAGUGGUGGGGUGACUGCGUACCUUUUGUAUAAUGGGUCAGCGACUUAUAUUCUGUAGCAAGGUUAACCGUAUAGGGGAGCCGGAGGGAAACCGAGUCUUAAUUGGGCGUUAAGUUGCAGGGUAUAGACCCGAAACCCGGUGAUCUAGCCAUGGGCAGGUUGAAGGUUGGGUAACACUAACUGGAGGACCGAACCGACUAAUGUUGAAAAAUUAGCGGAUGACCUGUGGCUGGGGGUGAAAGGCCAAUCAAACCGGGAGAUAGCUGGUUCUCCCCGAAAGCUAUUUAGGUAGCGCCUCGUGAAUUCAUCUCCGGGGGUAGAGCACUGUUUCGGCUAGGGGGCCAUCCCGGCUUACCAACCCGAUGCAAACUGCGAAUACCGGAGAAUGUUAUCACGGGAGACACACGGCGGGUGCUAACGUCCGUCGUGAAGAGGGAAACAACCCAGACCGCCAGCUAAGGUCCCAAAGUCAUGGUUAAGUGGGAAACGAUGUGGGAAGGCCCAGACAGCCAGGAUGUUGGCUUAGAAGCAGCCAUCAUUUAAAGAAAGCGUAAUAGCUCACUGGUCGAGUCGGCCUGCGCGGAAGAUGUAACGGGGCUAAACCAUGCACCGAAGCUGCGGCAGCGAACGUAUCACCCAAGACAACUUUACGGAGUUGACGAUUGACGGAGCGAAGCGACGUCAAAGCGUUCAUUAAAGUCGAGUUGGCUUAGGGAUACGUUCGUUGGGUAGGGGAGCGUUCUGUAAGCCUGUGAAGGUGUGUCGUGAGGCAUGCUGGAGGUAUCAGAAGUGCGAAUGCUGACAUAAGUAACGAUAAAGCGGGUGAAAAGCCCGCUCGCCGGAAGACCAAGGGUUCCUGUCCAACGUUAAUCGGGGCAGGGUGAGUCGACCCCUAAGGCGAGGCCGAAAGGCGUAGUCGAUGGGAAACGGGUUAAUAUUCCCGUACUUGGUGUUACUGCGAAGGGGGGACGGAGAAGGCUAUGUUGGCCGGGCGACGGUUGUCCCGGUUUAAGCGUGUAGGUGUGUGUUCCAGGUAAAUCCGGUUCACUUUAACACUGAGGCGUGACGACGAGGCACUACGGUGCUGAAGCAACAAAUGCCCUGCUUCCAGGAAAAGCCUCUAAGCAUCAGGUAACACGAAAUCGUACCCCAAACCGACACAGGUGGUCAGGUAGAGAAUACCAAGGCGCUUGAGAGAACUCGGGUGAAGGAACUAGGCAAAAUGGUGCCGUAACUUCGGGAGAAGGCACGCUGACACGUAGGUGAAGUGAUUUACUCAUGGAGCUGAAGUCAGUCGAAGAUACCAGCUGGCUGCAACUGUUUAUUAAAAACACAGCACUGUGCAAACACGAAAGUGGACGUAUACGGUGUGACGCCUGCCCGGUGCCGGAAGGUUAAUUGAUGGGGUCAGCGUAAGCGAAGCUCCUGAUCGAAGCCCCGGUAAACGGCGGCCGUAACUAUAACGGUCCUAAGGUAGCGAAAUUCCUUGUCGGGUAAGUUCCGACCUGCACGAAUGGCGUAAUGAUGGCCAGGCUGUCUCCACCCGAGACUCAGUGAAAUUGAACUCGCUGUGAAGAUGCAGUGUACCCGCGGCAAGACGGAAAGACCCCGUGAACCUUUACUAUAGCUUGACACUGAACAUUGAGCCUUGAUGUGUAGGAUAGGUGGGAGGCUUUGAAGUGUGGACGCCAGUCUGCAUGGAGCCGACCUUGAAAUACCACCCUUUAAUGUUUGAUGUUCUAACGUGGACCCGUAAUCCGGGUUGCGGACAGUGUCUGGUGGGUAGUUUGACUGGGGCGGUCUCCUCCUAAAGAGUAACGGAGGAGCACGAAGGUUGGCUAAUCCUGGUCGGACAUCAGGAGGUUAGUGCAAUGGCAUAAGCCAGCUUGACUGCGAGCGUGACGGCGCGAGCAGGUGCGAAAGCAGGUCAUAGUGAUCCGGUGGUUCUGAAUGGAAGGGCCAUCGCUCAACGGAUAAAAGGUACUCCGGGGAUAACAGGCUGAUACCGCCCAAGAGUUCAUAUCGACGGCGGUGUUUGGCACCUCGAUGUCGGCUCAUCACAUCCUGGGGCUGAAGUAGGUCCCAAGGGUAUGGCUGUUCGCCAUUUAAAGUGGUACGCGAGCUGGGUUUAGAACGUCGUGAGACAGUUCGGUCCCUAUCUGCCGUGGGCGCUGGAGAACUGAGGGGGGCUGCUCCUAGUACGAGAGGACCGGAGUGGACGCAUCACUGGUGUUCGGGUUGUCAUGCCAAUGGCACUGCCCGGUAGCUAAAUGCGGAAGAGAUAAGUGCUGAAAGCAUCUAAGCACGAAACUUGCCCCGAGAUGAGUUCUCCCUGAGACUUAGAGUCUCCUGAAGGAACGUUGAAGACGACGACGUUGAUAGGCCGGGUGUGUAAGCGCAGCGAUGCGUUGAGCUAACCGGUACUAAUGAACCGUGAGGCUUAACCUUACAACGCCGAAG
rnacentral:rRNA from 2 species